UAUGAGAAUGAGUAGGAUUGGAGU
rnacentral:piRNA from 1 species